rnacentral:lncRNA from 1 species
GCUCCAUAAAACCCCAAUAGUGCGGGGUUCAGAGAGCUUCCAGGUGGGUGAACACAUCCACACCAGGAAGCUGGUGCAUCCCAGAUCCACGGGGACAGAAGCUCUUGCACUCAGGACCCUCCCAGACCUCACCUUGUGCAUCUCUUCAUCUGGCUGCUCAUCUGUAUCCUUUACCAUAUCCUUUAAUGAAAUGGUCACUGCAAGCCUCCACAUGAAGCAAAAUACUUUCUUGUGGUUAAGCAAUAUAGUACUAUUUGAAAAAUAUAUAUCUCAUUAAGAUCCAGCCAUGAAAGGGAGAACAAAAGAGGAAAAUGCCUUGAACAGAAUAACUCUCAACAGAUGGAUAUUGAUUACUAGAGAGCCAGUGAACAACACACCAGGCAGCAAAAGCAGCUCUCCUACGGCCAUGUCACGUGCACGGCUGAAAUGCAAGAUCUCGGAAGCUGCAGCAGAUCAGCUGAAGCUGAGUGCAGGUGAAAGACACUCUUACUGAAGUGCCGUCAUUAGCCCUGUUACAACCUAGAAGCUAAAGGCCGGGUCAGGCCUCGGCAUAUGGACAACACUAUAAGAAGGACUAAGACACAAUCUCUCUCAUGUGUGGAAAACAGUAAAGAUAAGCAGGCCGCCUCUAAGAGAAGUGAGUUUGCUUUAUCUCGGCCUGUGCUCUGAAGUCCGAGAGGUUGUCUGAGGGGGAGAAAUGCCCAGGGCGGUGCAGGCACAAGGGCACGGGGUGGAAACCCCCAAACCCUCUCCUCCUUCAACCAGAGAAACUCUAGCUAAUGUCUUUUAUGUGUUUGGUUUCUCUAAAGAUUUUGUUUGAAGAAAGGCUUCAGAGGCUAGGUUUGUUUUUUUCUUUCUUUGAGAGCACUCGUGUAGACAGCAUAAUGCCCGGAAACCUAUUCAAAACAUUAAAACGUAAACAGGUAAUAUUUUCUAACCUCUUUACAUCUUACACAACUGGGACCAUGAAUCUUAGGAGAGGCAAAUUGAGGAGACACAGGGGGAGAGUCAUUCCUCACAUCCUUGCGCUGCGUAUGCAAGUGUACUUCUAAAAUGUUUACAACUUUGUACGAAAGAAGACAAAAGUUGCUAUUAACUUGCAGAACUUUCUUUCCCCAGAAAGUAGAAAAUGAUAUUCAGAAUCAUAAAAAUAAACUUAAGACACUCGAUUUUUGUUUCUUUGUUCAAAGGCAAGCAGCUGAAUCUUGUCAGUUUUUACUCUGUGGACACUUUGCAGCUCCUUUUUGUCAAUUACCGUUUCACAGGGACACACACACACAUACACGCAUGCACACACACACACACACACACACACA